rnacentral:lncRNA from 1 species
CUCCGACUGCAUUAAAACCACCAGACGCACUAUGAAUAACGAAACCCGAACCACCAAUAUUACCUAGACUAUGCAUAAUGCCAUCAAAAUUAACCUUAAGAAAAUAGAGGGUGAUGGCUCCCAAGAAAAAUAAAUUAAUUUGGGGGAUGCAGAGACUGCAAAAGCAGAGCCACAUAUUUUUCCUGUUGUCAAAGGUCUUGCAUUGACAAUCGACUG